GAAAGCGCAAGCCUCUGUUUUUUCACAUAGUGAAAUAUGAGAAUUAGGAGCUGGUAUUUGCUCUUGUGCACUUACUGUGAUUUCUUCUAUUUUAAAAAAACAAAAAGGUACAUACUCUUGGGCUGCAAUCCAGUACAUGUCCAACAUUUGUCUACCCAGAGGAAGUGUUAAACAGGUGCUUGAGCACAGUCACGGACUGGAUGCGGGCCAACAAACUGAGGUUCAAUCCAGAUAAGAUUGUGGUGCUCUAGAAUGGAUGGUUUGUCUACUCAGGCUCCACUAUUUCUUAGAAUAUUCAUUGCUGAUACAGAGAUGACUCACUGACGUGAAUGCUUCCUACAAAGCUUCAGGCUGGCUGAAGGCUCAAUCCUAUACUGAAGAUAUAAGAGCAUAAGAAGGGCCUGCUGGAUCAGGCCAGUGGCACAUCUAGUCCAACAUCCUGUUCUCACAGAUGUCUGUGGGAAGCCUGCAAACAAGACCCAACUGCAAGAGCACUCUCCCCUCCUGCGGUUUCCAGCAACUGGUAUUCAGAAACAUACUGCCUUCUGACUAUGGAGGCAGAGCAUAGCCAUCAUGGCUAGUAGCCACUGAUAGCUUUAUCCUCCAUGAAGCUGCCUAAUCUUCUUUUAAAGCUGUCCAAGUUGGUGGCCAUCACUGCUUUUUGUGGGUGAAUUCCAUAAGUUUAACUAUGUGAUGUGUGAAGAAGUACUUUCAGUACUGUCCUGAAUCUUUCCACAUUCAGCUUCACUGGAUGUCCACAAGUUAUGCCAGCUGAGGGGCUGCAGGAUAUGGUGGAAGCCCUCCUGUACUGACACAGUGUGAGAUGUACUACUUCCACAGAGCACAAUUCCAGCACAAGUGCUCAGAUAUGCUGGUGGAAUAUUCCACUGGAGUAUGAAAUACUGAUGAAGAUAAGCUUGUGGAAUAGUGGAGUAACUCACCACCACCACCAUGAUCCUUUUAGAAGAUUGCUCAGUUAAUGACCUCCUUGUAAGCUGCUCUGAAUGACUUCUAAGAUAUAAUAGGAUAUUUCAAUUGCAUACAUACCAGUUUGGUUAUGGGAGAAGUGGAAGCACAAUAUAAUAUCCUUAUUUAUACAGCAAGCGUAUUGCAUAGGGAUAGUCCUUUGCUAGUGCUGCCCUGCUCAAACCUCAAUAAAUUUCAUCAGCUUGUUGCUGGUCUUCUGAACAGGGUGCUGAUGGGUACAGAUUAGGCACAGUGCCACAUGACUCAAAUAUGCAUCAUCACAGCAUAUCCAUUGCUUUGUGCUGGUUCAAUCAUGACUUAUACCUAAGAGUGGGAAAAUUCCCAGCCCCCAAUUUUCCUGAUUUCUUUUCCCCAAGACGGUGGUCCCAGUCCCUCAUACCUGCUCCAUUUCUGGGACAUGGAGGAGUCCCUUGAUGGAAUCUUGAUGCCCUGUGUAACUUUGCAUCUGCACCCCAGAGUUUGGGUCAUAAACCCUGUAAGGAGAAAACGGCAAAGCCAUCAGCACAUUCAAGGAUAUGCUAUCCUCUUAUCCCUCCCGUUUCCACCACCAUCUGCAUUAUCCAAUGGCUACCUGAUGGUAUCAUGAACCCCUGCAAUAAUGCAGCCAUUGACCUGGUCAAUGCAGAGGCAAGUGAUCCCUCUGGGGGCUCUCAGGUCCUGUAAACAGCAUCCACUAUCUUCACUCUGUGUGUACCAUUAAAAAAAAAGUUU